rnacentral:rRNA from 1 species
UACGGAGGGUGCAAGCGUUAAUCGGAAUUACUGGGCGUAAAGCGCGCGUAGGCGGCUAUUUAAGUCGGAUGUGAAAGCCCUGGGCUCAACCUGGGAACUGCAUUCGAUACUGGGGUAGCUAGAGUAUAGGAGAGGAGUGUGGAAUUUCAGGUGUAGCGGUGAAAUGCGUAGAGAUCUGAAGGAACACCAGUGGCGAAGGC